rnacentral:rRNA from 1 species
UUCCGGGUGAUCCCGCCGGACCCGACUGCUAUCAGAGUGGGACUAAGCCAUGCGAGUCAACAUAGCAAUAUGUGGCAUACGGCUCAGUAACACGUAGUCAACAUGCCCAGGGGACGUGGAUAACCUCGGGAAACUGAGGAUAAACCGCGAUAGGUCAUCACUUCUGGAAUGGGUAAUGACUUAAAUCUAUAUGGCCCCUGGAUUGGACUGCGGCCGAUCAGGCUGUUGGUGAGGUAAUGGCCCACCAAACCUGUAACCGGUACGGGCUCUGAGAGGAGGAGCCCGGAGAUGGGCACUGAGACAAGGGCCCAGGCCCUAUGGGGCGCAGCAGGCGCGAAACCUCUGCAAUAGGCGAAAGCUUGACAGGGUUACUCUGAGUGAUUUCCGUUAAGGAGAUCUUUUGGCACCUCUAAAAAUGGUGCAGAAUAAGGGGUGGGCAAGUCUGGUGUCAGCCGCCGCGGUAAUACCAGCACCCCGAGUGGUCGGGACGUUUAUUGGGCCUAAAGCAUCCGUAGCCGGUUCUACAAGUCUUCCGUUAAAUCCACCUGCUUAACAGAUGGGCUACGGAAGAUACUAUAGAGCUAGGAGGCGGGAGAGGCAAGCGGUACUCGAUGGGUAGGGGUAAAAUCCGUUGAUCCAUUGAAGACCACCAGUGGCGAAGGCGGCUUGCCAGAACGCGCUCGACGGUGAGGGAUGAAAGCUGGGGGAGCGAACCGGAUUAGAUACCCGGGUAGUCCCAGCCGUAAACGAUGCUAGCUAGAUGAUUCAUUCGCAAGUCGCGAAUGAAGUGUCGCAGGGAAGCCGUUAAGCUAGCCGCCUGGGGAGUACGGUCGCAAGACUGAAACUUAAAGGAAUUGGCGGGGGAGCA